rnacentral:rRNA from 1 species
GUGCACCUCGGGACGCAGCAGUGGGGGAUAUUGCACAAUGGGGGGAACCCUGAUGCAGCGACGCCGCGUGGGUGAAGAAGCGCCUCGGCGCGUAAAGCCCUGUCAGCAGGGAAGAAAAUGACGGUACCUGAAGAAGAAGCCCCGGCUAACUACGUGCCAGCAGCCGCGGUAAUACGUUGGGGGCAAGCGUUAUCCGGAUUUACUGGGUGUAAAGGGGGCGCAGACGGCGAUGCAAGCCAGGAGUGAAAGCCCGGGGCCCAACCCCGGGACUGCUCUUGGAACUGCGUGGCUGGAGUGCAGGAGGG